UAUUGAAGAUAUUUAGGUAGUAAUUUAUUACUUUAGAAUAUUAAUAAAAUUUUGGUUUAAUUUUACAA
rnacentral:tRNA from 1 species